UGCGUACCUUUUGUAUAAUGGGUCAGCGACUUAUAUUCUGUAGCAAGGUUAACCGUAUAGGGGAGCCGAAGGGAAACCGAGUCUUAACUGGGCGUUAAGUUGCAGGGUAUAGACCCGAAACCCGGUGAUCUAGCCAUGGGCAGGUUGAAGGUUGGGUAACACUAACUGGAGGACCGAACCGACUAAUGUUGAAAAAUUAGCGGAUGACUUGUGGCUGGGGGUGAAAGGCCAAUCAAACCGGGAGAUAGCUGGUUCUCCCCGAAAGCUAUUUAGGUAGCGCCUCGUGAACUCAUCUUCGGGGGUAGAGCACUGUUUCGGCUAGGGGGUCAUCCCGACUUACCAACCCGAUGCAAACUGCGAAUACCGAAGAAUGUUAUCACGGGAGACACACGGCGGGUGCUAACGUCCGUCGUGAAGAGGGAAACAACCCAGACCGCCAGCUAAGGUCCCAAAGUCACAGUUAAGUGGGAAACGAUGUGGGAAGGCUCAGACAGCCAGGAUGUUGGCUUAGAAGCAGCCAUCAUUUAAAGAAAGCGUAAUAGCUCACUGGUCGAGUCGGCCUGCGCGGAAGAUGUAACGGGGCUAAACUGUGCACCGAAGCUGCGGCAGCGACGCUUAUGCGUUGUUGGGUAGGGGAGCGUUCUGUAAGCCUGCGAAGGUGUCCUGUGAGGGAUGCUGGAGGUAUCAGAAGUGCGAAUGCUGACAUAAGUAACGAUAAUGCGGGUGAAAAGCCCGCUCGCCGGAAGACCAAGGGUUCCUGUCCAACGUUAAUCGGGGCAGGGUGAGUCGACCCCUAAGGCGAGGCCGAAAGGCGUAGUCGAUGGGAAACGGGUUAAUAUUCCCGUACUUGGUGUUACUGCGAAGGGGGGACGGAGAAGGCUAUGUUGGCCGGGCGACGGUUGUCCCGGUUUAAGCGUGUAGGCUGGUUUUCCAGGCAAAUCCGGAAAAUCAAG
rnacentral:rRNA from 1 species